rnacentral:rRNA from 1 species
GAAGCUAAAAGUUACCACUGAGUUUUCACUACGGGGUGGUAGCCAAGCGGUAAAUGCGUGCAUUUACCACGCGUUAAUAAAGGCUUAUCUCAGUAUGAAGGCUGAGUGGUGACUUUUAUAUUUAGUGGCAGACGGGUGAGUAAGGCGUAGGCAACCUGCCGUUCGGAUGGGGACGACAGUUCGAAAGGACUGCUAAUACCGAAUGAUGUAUAUCUUCCGCAUGGAGGACAUACCAAAGACGGCCUCUAUUUGUAAGCUGUCACGGAAAGAUGGGGCUGCGUCUGAUUAGCGAGUUGGCGGGGUAAUGGCCCACCAAAGCGACGGUCAGUAGCCGGUCUGAGAGGAUGAACGGCCGCGUUGGGACUGAGACACGGCCCAAACUCCUACGGGAGG